rnacentral:misc_RNA from 1 species
GAUAUUUCAGUUGAAAAUUAUGAAGUUUGCAGUUAAACACAUCUAAGAAUGUCUUCACACCAGAAAGUUAUUCAAGUGUAUUUACAUAAACAUGAUAUAGGACGCCUUUUUGAGGAUAUGAUGGCUAAAUUAGUAAAAGAAAUGCCUAAUGAACCUGUUGUUUAUUUAAUCAAAUUGUUGCAAAAUAUACAACCUAAAAAAGUUUGCAACAUGGUUAAUCCUGUUCCCAAUAAUGAAAUAAAGCUAACAGGCUCUUCGAUACCAAAGAAAUACUCACAAGACCCUCAAGUUAUACUGCCUGGUAGCAAACCCCCUGUAUCUCUUUGGUCAAAAGGUGUUGAUGAAAAAGAAAAUGAUAGUAUUAACCAAGUUAUUUACUCUGAAAAGUUUAUAAAAAAGAUAAAAGAAAAUGCUGAUGAAGUUCAAGAUUGGAAAAAUAAUGCUAAAGUGCCAAUAAGCAAAUUAAGUGACAAAAGCAAAAUUGAAAAAAGUCUUCCUAUUUUUACAAGUGAUAGCAAAUUAUCUCAUUCAUUGAAGGUUCCUGAACAACAUAAACAUGAUCUUAGUAUAAAAAGAAAGGAUAACAAGCCACCAAAUUUGGUACAAAACUCAGAAGUAAAUGACGAGUUAGAUAUAAACCCAAAAGCCAAAACUAAAAAGAUUAGAAAAUAACUCAGAACUUAUUAGUGAGGGAGUACAAGUUCAUUCAAGCAAACCUUUGAAAUAUAUAGACUCUACUGCCAAAGUUAGAAUCAGUAUAUGUCAAUUAUGCAACAAAUUGUUGACUUCAUCUGACAGUAACAUUCCACUUGAAAGUGAUCUUGUCUUCGAUACCACAUUGAGAUGCGACAAACAAAUAUCAACAACAAAGGAACAAAUAUCUAGCGAUGAUGAGGAGUUUGAUAGUGUAUCUCAAUAUAAGUUUAACAAACCAAAAUGGCCAACCCUCUCUGACUCUGAAGGUGAACUCUUUGAUACAGAGGCUGAAACAAAUUUAUCUAUAUUGAAAAAUUCAUCAAAGAGUAACCAAUCAGAUUUUUUUAAAAUAAACAAUCCAACAAGAAAAAAGAUAGAUAGCACAUUAACAGAUAAAAAGGUUGAAAAAAUAUUGAAGGUCACCAAUAGUAAACAAAUUUGGAAUGUUACAAAUGUUGAAAAAGAAAUAUUUGAGGAUGGAAGCUAAGCCAGACUUGCUUCUUGAGUUAACAAUGAAGAUUUAAUGUAAAAAAACUUUAAUUGAGGUCCUACUUAUCUACCUGCCGUGGCCUCACCCAAUUAAAAAAAAUUUAAUUAGACGUGUUACAUUUUUAUAAAGAGAAGACAUUAUUGGACUCAUAA